GCACGUAGAUUUUUCCCUUUGACAACUGGAGUUAACUUUGGUGCUAAUCUAUAUGAAAAUUUGCCUUUAUAGCGUUUUGUGAUCACUUUUCCUUUUGAAUUAGCUACCUUCUUCCUACUACUUUCCUCACCACCGCUCACCAAAAUUCCUUUUGCUUUAUGCAUAAUCUAUCACCAAAAGUUCUCCAGUAACACAAUCCACGUUUGCAGUGUUUAUUGGUUUGAAAAGCUCUGCUCUUUUCCUCUGAUUUAACCCUAGAUCCAUUUACCCUCUAAUAUUCUCAACUACUACUGGGUUUCUAUUGUUUCCUCCGGGAUCUAGACGAAAUUACCAAGAUGUUUAGGCUGGGCAAAAAUGUGGACUCAAUAUACUGGCAAGAAAAAGGAAAACGCCAAUGCUCUAAAGAAAGAGGCACCAAAAUAAAAUAAAGACGCCGUGAAAUAUAUAGGGCGACAUCAGCUGAUAGAAAAGAACUGAACUUAUUGCAGUGGCGGUCGACAUAUCUUCAUUCUAGAACACAGAAGCCAAUCAGUACUUCCACUGAAGUAUCAACCUCUUAUAAAUUUAAUGGAGAGUUUGUUGAACAAACAGUUUCUCUAAGAGGAGUCUCAUCUUCUAUUCUGAGAACAAGUUUGUAAACUAAGAUUUUGUUAUCUUGAAACGAACUAUGAGACAUUAAACAUUUACAUAUUUAAUACGUUCAUAACACUUUUUUUUGUCUUAGAAAAUAUUUUCACAGUUCAAGAUUCCCCUGUUUCUAUUAACGUCAAAGAUGUAUGUGAUAGCUCCUGUAUUUUUGAACUUGGUAAGUGUGGAAGUAUGGUGUUCAAAUUUGAAGAA